rnacentral:rRNA from 1 species
AGCGAAAUGGGAAGAGCCCAAACCAACAAGCUUGCUUGUUGGGGUUGUAGGACACUCUAUACGGAGUUACAAAGGACGACAUUAGACGAAUCAUCUGGAAAGAUGAAUCAAAGAAGGUAAUAAUCCUGUAGUCGAAAAUGUUGUCUCUCUUGAGUGGAUCCUGAGUACGACGGAGCACGUGAAAUUCCGUCGGAAUCUGGGAGGACCAUCUCCUAAGGCUAAAUACUCUCUAGUGACCGAUAGUGAACCAGUACCGUGAGGGAAAGGUGAAAAGCACCCCGGAAGGGGAGUGAAAUAGAACCUGAAACCGUGUGCUUACAAGUAGUCAGAGCCCGUUAAUGGGUGAUGGCGUGCCUUUUGUAGAAUGAACCGGCGAGUUACGAUUUGAUGCAAGGUUAAGCAGUAAAUGUGGAGCCGUAGCGAAAGCGAGUCUGAAUAGGGCGUUUAGUAUUUGGUCGUAGACCCGAAACCAGGUGAUCUACCCUUGGUCAGGUUGAAGUUCAGGUAACACUGAAUGGAGGACCGAACCGACUUACGUUGAAAAGUGAGCGGAUGAACUGAGGGUAGCGGAGAAAUUCCAAUCGAACCUGGAGAUAGCUGGUUCUCUCCGAAAUAGCUUUAGGGCUAGCCUCAAGUGAUGAUUAUUGGAGGUAGAGCACUGUUUGGACGAGGGGCCCCUCUCGGGUUACCGAAUUCAGACAAACUCCGAAUGCCAAUUAAUUUAACUUGGGAGUCAGAACAUGGGUGAUAAGGUCCGUGUUCGAAAGGGAAACAGCCCAGACCACCAGCUAAGGUCCCAAAAUAUAUGUUAAGUGGAAAAGGAUGUGGCGUUGCCCAGACAACUAGGAUGUUGGCUUAGAAGCAGCCAUCAUUUAAAGAGUGCGUAAUAGCUCACUAGUCGAGUGACACUGCGCCGAAAAUGUACCGGGGCUAAACAUAUUACCGAAGCUGUGGAUUGUCCUUUGGACAAUGGUAGGAGAGCGUUCUAAGGGCGUUGAAGCAUGAUCGUAAGGACAUGUGGAGCGCUUAGAAGUGAGAAUGCCGGUGUGAGUAGCGAAAGACGGGUGAGAAUCCCGUCCACCGAUUGACUAAGGUUUCCAGAGGAAGGCUCGUCCGCUCUGGGUUAGUCGGGUCCUAAGCUGAGGCCGACAGGCGUAGGCGAUGGAUAACAGGUUGAUAUUCCUGUACCACCUAUAAUCGUUUUA